GGAUAUGAGGCUGACCUGGCUAUAACAUCUAUCACCCCACUGAUCGCCAGGGUUGAUAGCUGAUCUGGCUGGCUAGGCAGGUGUUCCCUACCUCCCUCACUACUCCAUGUACGACCCUCCUGAAGCUGUACACUUGGUUGAAGAGGACGACCACUCCUGAUAAGAGAGGGUUUCUUUGGUGAAGAAUAUAUACAUAGCUGUACUCCCCUGCAAGAACCUCCAAAUAAUCCCUCACAAGUUUCAACCUCAUCGCCCCCAUCUCAAAACCAAAAACAAAAAUUUAAAAAGGGCUAAGGAUGUAGCUCAGUGUGAAGGCCCUGGUUU
ensembl:misc_RNA 7SK 7SK RNA